AUUGAACGCUGGCGGCAGGCCUAACACAUGCAAGUCGAACGGUAACAGGAAGAAGCUUGCUUCUUUGCUGACGAGUGGCGGACGGGUGAGGAAUGUCUGGGCAACUGCCUGAUGGAGGGGGCUAACUACUGGAAACGGUACCUAAUACCGCAUAACGUCGCAAGACCAAAGAGGGGGACCUUCGGGCCUCUUGCCAUCGGACGUGCCCAGAUGGGAUUAGCUAGUAGGUGGGGUAACGGCUCACCUAGGCGACGAUCCCUAGCUGGGCUGAGAGGCUGACGAGGCACACUGGAACUGAGACACGGUCCAGACUCCUACGGGAGGCAGCGGUGGGGAAUAUUGCACAAUGGGCGCAAGCCUGAUGCAGCCAUGCCGCGUGUAUGAAGAAGGCCUUCGGGUUGUAAAGUACUUUCAGCGGGGAGGAAGGGAGUAAGGUUAAGACCUGUACUCAUUGACGGUACCCGCAGAAGAAGCACCGGCUAACUCCGUG
rnacentral:rRNA from 1 species